rnacentral:rRNA from 1 species
UACGUAGGGGGCAAGCGUUGUCCGGAUUUAUUGGGCGUAAAGAGCGUGUAGGCGGCCAAGCAGGUCCGCUGUGAAAACUCGAGGCUCAACCUCGAGACGUCGGUGGAAACCGUUUGGCUAGAGUCCGGAAGAGGAGAGUGGAAUUCCCGGUGUAGCGGUGAAAUGCGCAGAUAUCGGGAAGAACACCCGUGGCGAAGGCGGGUCUCUGGGCCGAUACUGACGCUGAGGAGCGAAAGCGUGGGGAGCGAACAGGAUUGAGAACCCGA